rnacentral:rRNA from 1 species
ACACAUGCAAGUCGAGGGGCAGCAUGACCUAGCAAUAGGUUGAUGGCGACCGGCGCACGGGUGAGUAACACGUAUCCAACCUACCGGUUAUUCCGGGAUAGCCUUUCGAAAGAAAGAUUAAUACCGGAUAGUAUGACGAGAAGGCAUCUUUUUGUUAUUAAAGAAUUUCGAUAACCGAUGGGGAUGCGUUCCAUUAGUUUGUUGGCGGGGUAACGGCCCACCAAGACAUCGAUGGAUAGGGGUUCUGAGAGGAAGGUCCCCCACAUUGGAACUGAGACACGGUCCAAACUCCUACGGGAGGCAGCAGUGAGGAAUAUUGGUCAAUGGACGAGAGUCUGAACCAGCCAAGUAGCGUGAAGGAUGACUGCCCUAUGGGUUGUAAACUUCUUUUAUAUGGGAAUAAAGUGAGCCACGUGUGGCUUUUUGUAUGUACCAUACGAAUAAGGAUCGGCUAACUCCGUGCCAGCAGCCGCGGUAAUACGGAGGAUCCGAGCGUUAUCCGGAUUUAUUGGGUUUAAAGGGAGCGUAGGCGGACUAUUAAGUCAGCUGUGAAAGUUUGCGGCUCAACCGUAAAAUUGCAGUUGAUACUGGUCGUCUUGAGUGCAGUAGAGGUAGGCGGAAUUCGUGGUGUAGCGGUGAAAUGCUUAGAUAUCACGAAGAACUCCGAUUGCGAAGGCAGCUUACUGGACUGUAACUGACGCUGAUGCUCGAAAGUGUGGGUAUCAAACAGGAUUAGAUACCCUGGUAGUCCACACAGUAAACGAUGAAUACUCGCUGUUUGCGAUAUACGGCAAGCGGCCAAGCGAAAGCAUUAAGUAUUCCACCUGGGGAGUACGCCGGCAACGGCGAAACUCAAAGGAAUUGACGGGGG